rnacentral:rRNA from 1 species
UACGUAGGGUGCGAGCGUUGUCCGGAAUUAUUGGGCGUAAAGGGCUCGUAGGCGGUCUGUCGCGUCGGGAGUGAAAACUCAGGGCUUAACCCUGAGCCUGCUUCCGAUACGGGCAGACUAGAGGUAUGCAGGGGAGGACGGAAUUCCUGGUGUAGCGGUGAAAUGCGCAGAUAUCAGGAGGAACACCGGUGGCGAAGGCGGUUCUCUGGGCAUUACCUGACGCUGAGGAGCGAAAGUGUGGGGAGCGAACAGG